rnacentral:rRNA from 1 species
GACGAACGCUGGCGGCGUGCCUAAUACAUGCAGGUUGAGCGCUGAAGGUUGGUACUUGUACCAACUGGAUGAGCAGCGAACGGGUGAGUAACGCGUGGGGAAUCUGCCUUUGAGCGGGGGACAACAUUUGGAAACGAAUGCUAAUACCGCAUAAAAACUUUAAACACAAGUUUUAAGUUUGAAAGAUGCAAUUGCAUCACUCAAAGAUGAUCCCGCGUUGUAUUAGCUAGUUGGUGAGGUAAAGGCUCACCAAGGCGAUGAUACAUAGCCGACCUGAGAGGGUGAUCGGCCACAUUGGGACUGAGACACGGCCCAAACUCAUACGGGAGGCAGCAGUAGGGAAUCUUCGGCAAUGGACGAAAGUCUGACCGAGCAACGCCGAGAGAGUGAAGAAGAUUUUCGGAUCGUAAAACUCUGUUGGUAGAGAAGAACGUUGGUGAGAGUGGAAAGCUCAUCAAGUGACGGUAACUACCCAGAAAGGGACGGCUAACUACGUG